CAGCCGCCGCGGGAAUACGAGGGGGGCAAGCGUUGUUCGGAAUUAUUGGGCGUAAAGGGUGCGUAGGCGGUUCAGCAAGUCUCGUGUGAAAUCUUCGGGCUCAACCCGAAGUCUGCACGGGAAACUACUGGGCUUGAGUAAUGGAGAGGUGAGUGGAAUUUCCGGUGUAGCGGUGAAAUGCGUAGAUAUCGGAAGGAACACCUGUGGCGAAAGCGGCUCACUGGACCAUAACUGACGCUGAGGCACGAAAGCUAGGGGAGCAAACAGGAUUAGAUACCCGCGUAGUCCCUGUCUCUUAUAC
rnacentral:rRNA from 1 species